AGAGUUUGAUCCUGGCUCAGGAUGAACGCUAGCUACAGGCUUAACACAUGCAAGUCGAGGGGCAGCAUGGUCUUAGCUUGCUAAGGCCGAUGGCGACCGGCGCACGGGUGAGUAACACGUAUCCAACCUGCCGUCUACUCUUGGACAGCCUUCUGAAAGGAAGAUUAAUACAAGAUGGCAUCAUGAGUCCGCAUGUUCACAUGAUUAAAGGUAUUCCGGUAGACGAUGGGGAUGCGUUCCAUUAGAUAGUAGGCGGGGUAACGGCCCACCUAGUCUUCGAUGGAUAGGGGUUCUGAGAGGAAGGUCCCCCACAUUGGAACUGAGACACGGUCCAAACUCCUACGGGAGGCAGCAGUGAGGAAUAUUGGUCAAUGGGCGAGAGCCUGAACCAGCCAAGUAGCGUGAAGGAUGACUGCCCUAUGGGUUGUAAACUUCUUUUAUAAAGGAAUAAAGUCGGGUAUGCAUACCCGUUUGCAUGUACUUUAUGAAUAAGGAUCGGCUAACUCCGUGCCAGCAGCCGCGGUAAUACGGAGGAUCCGAGCGUUAUCCGGAUUUAUUGGGUUUAAAGGGAGCGUAGAUGGAUGUUUAAGUCAGUUGUGAAAGUUUGCGGCUCAACCGUAAAAUUGCAGUUGAUACUGGAUAUCUUGAGUGCAGUUGAGGCAGGCGGAAUUCGUGGUGUAGCGGUGAAAUGCUUAGAUAUCACGAAGAACUCCGAUUGCGAAGGCAGCCUGCUAAGCUGCAACUGACAUUGAGGCUCGAAAGUGUGGGUAUCAAACAGGAUUAGAUACCCUGGUAGUCCACACGGUAAACGAUGAAUACUCGCUGUUUGCGAUAUACAGCAAGCGGCCAAGCGAAAGCGUUAAGUAUUCCACCUGGGGAGUACGCCGGCAACGGUGAAACUCAAAGGAAUUGACGGGGGCCCGCACAAGCGGAGGAACAUGUGGUUUAAUUCGAUGAUACGCGAGGAACCUUACCCGGGCUUAAAUUGCAGAUGAAUUACGGUGAAAGCCGUAAGCCGCAAGGCAUCUGUGAAGGUGCUGCAUGGUUGUCGUCAGCUCGUGCCGUGAGGUGUCGGCUUAAGUGCCAUAACGAGCGCAACCCUUGUUGUCAGUUACUAACAGGUUCCGCUGAGGACUCUGACAAGACUGCCAUCGUAAGAUGUGAGGAAGGUGGGGAUGACGUCAAAUCAGCACGGCCCUUACGUCCGGGGCUACACACGUGUUACAAUGGGGGGUACAGAGGGCCGCUACCACGCGAGUGGAUGCCAAUCCCCAAAACCUCUCUCAGUUCGGACUGGAGUCUGCAACCCGACUCCACGAAGCUGGAUUCGCUAGUAAUCGCGCAUCAGCCACGGCGCGGUGAAUACGUUCCCGGGCCUUGUACACACCGCCCGUCAAGCCAUGGGAGCCGGGGGUACCUGAAGUGCGUAACCGCGAGGAGCGCCCUAGGGUAAAACUGGUGACUGGGGCUAAGUCGUAACAAGGUAGCCGUACCGGAAGGUGCGGCUG
rnacentral:rRNA from 2 species